rnacentral:rRNA from 1 species
GACGAACGCUGGCGGCGUGCUUAACACAUGCAAGUCGAACGGUAAGGCCCUUCGGGGUACACGAGUGGCGAACGGGUGAGUAGCACGUGGGUGAUCUGCCCUGCACUUCGGGAUAAGCCUGGGAAACUGGGUCUAAUACCGGAUUGGACUCCGGACUGCAUGGUCUGGGGUGGAAAGCUUUUGCGGUGUGGGAUGGGCCCGCGGCCUAUCAGCUUGUUGGUGGGGUGAUGGCCUACCAAGGCGACGACGGGUAGCCGGCCUGAGAGGGUGACCGGCCACACUGGGACUGAGAUACGGCCCAGACUCCUACGGGAGGCAGCAGUGGGGAAUAUUGCACAAUGAGCGCAAGCCUGAUGCAGCGACGCCGCGUGAGGGAUGACGGCCUUCGGGUUGUAAACCUCUUUCAGCAUCGACGAAGCGUAAGUGACGGUAGGUGCAGAAGAAGGACCGGCCAACUACGUGCCAGCAGCCGCCGUAA